CUGAAAAGUUUGCCGAAUUCCAACAUGGAAGCGGGGGAACCAACUAUUGGGGCGAAUUCCGAAAGGAUCGGAUACUCUUUCAAUCCAAGCCCGUCAGCUAACCUCGUAGGUGUAGAAAGAGAGACAUG
rnacentral:sRNA from 1 species